rnacentral:sRNA from 1 species
GCUGGGCGUGGUGAUGCACGCCUGAAAUCCAAGUGGCUCUGGAGGCUAAGGCAGGAGGAUCGCAAGUUCAAAGCCAAGCUCAGCAACUUAGUGAGGCCCUGAGCAACUUAGCGAGACCCUGUCUCAA